GGCUAUAGCUCAGUUGGUAGAGUGCUUGCCUUGCAUGCCCAAGGUCCUGGGUUUAAUUCUCAGUGCCA
rnacentral:tRNA from 1 species